rnacentral:rRNA from 1 species
GACGAACGCUGGCGGCGUGCUUAACACAUGCGAGUCGAACGGAAAGGCCCUGCUUUUGUGGGGUGCUCGAGUGGCGAACGGGUGAGUAACACGUGAGUAACCUGCCCUUGACUUUGGGAUAACUUCAGGAAACUGGGGCUAAUACCGGAUAGGAGCUCCUGCUGCAUGGUGGGGGUUGGAAAGUUUCGGCGGUUGGGGAUGGACUCGCGGCUUAUCAGCUUGUUGGUGGGGUAGUGGCUUACCAAGGCUUUGACGGGUAGCCGGCCUGAGAGGGUGACCGGCCACAUUGGGACUGAGAUACGGCCCAGACUCCUACGGGAGGCAGCAGUGGGGAAUAUUGCACAAUGGGCGGAAGCCUGAUGCAGCAACGCCGCGUGCGGGAUGACGGCCUUCGGGUUGUAAACCGCUUUCGCCUGUGACGAAGCGUGAGUGACGGUAAUGGGUUAAGAAGCACCGGCUAACUACGUG